GGGAGGUAGUGACAAUAAAUAACAAUACAGGGUCCUUAUGGGUUUUGUAAUUGGAAUGAGUACAAUUUAAAUCUCUUAACGAGGAACAAUUGGAGGGCAAGUCUGGUGCCAGCAGCCGCGGUAAUUCCAGCUCCAAUAGCGUAUAUUAAAGUUGUUGCAGUUAAAAAGCUCGUAGUUGAAUUUCGGGAUCAAUACGUCGGUCGUGCCUUUGGUACGUACUAAUGUCAUUGAUUUCUCCCUUCUGAUGAAUCAUGAUGUCAUUAAUUUGAUGUUGUGGGGAGUCAGGACUGUUACUUUGAAAAAUUAGAGUGUUUAAAGCAAGCACGCGCUUGAAUACAUUAGCAUGGAAUAAUGAAAUAGGACGUUCGAUUCUAUUUUGUUGGUUUCUAGGAUCAACGUAAUGAUUAAUAGGGAUAGUUGGG
rnacentral:rRNA from 1 species